AGCGGAAUUGUGUAGUGGUAGCACAGCAGACUCUGACUCUGUAUGCCUGGGUUCGAAUCCUAGUUCCGCUGCCA
rnacentral:tRNA from 1 species